rnacentral:rRNA from 1 species
UUAAGUUCCCGUAACGAGCGCAACCCUUUGUCCUUAGUUACCAGCRCGUAAUGGUGGGCACUCUAAGGAGACUGCCGGUGACAAACCGGAGGAAGGUGGGGAUGACGUCAAGUCAUCAUGGCCCUUACGGCCUGGGCUACACACGUGCUACAAUGGUCGGUUUGUUGGUUGCCAAGCCGCGAGGUGGAGCUAAUCCCACAAAACCGAUCGUAGUCCGGAUAGCAGUCUGCAACUCGACUGCGUGAAGUCGGAAUCGCUAGUAAUCGCGAAUCAGAAUGUCGCGGUAAUACGUUCCCGGGCCUUGUACACGCCGYCCGUCACACCAUAAGAGUGGGUUGCACCAGAAG